GGGUUGUGAGGUUAAGCGACUAAGCGUACACGGUGGAUGCCCUGGCAGUCAGAGGCGAUGAAGGACGUGCUAAUCUGCGAUAAGCGUCGGUAAGGUGAUAUGAACCGUUAUAACCGGCGAUUUCCGAAUGGGGAAACCCAGUGUGAUUCGUCACACUAUCAUUAACUGAAUCCAUAGGUUAAUGAGGCGAACCGGGGGAACUGAAACAUCUAAGUACCCCGAGGAAAAGAAAUCAACCGAGAUUCCCCCAGUAGCGGCGAGCGAACGGGGAGCAGCCCAGAGCCUGAAUCAGUGUGUGUGUUAGUGGAAGCGUCUGGAAAGGCGCGCGAUACAGGGUGACAGCCCCGUACACAAAAAUGCACAUGCUGUGAGCUCGAUGAGUAGGGCGGGACACGUGGUAUCCUGUCUGAAUAUGGGGGGACCAUCCUCCAAGGCUAAAUACUCCUGACUGACCGAUAGUGAACCAGUACCGUGAGGGAAAGGCGAAAAGAACCCCGGCGAGGGGAGUGAAAAAGAACCUGAAACCGUGUACGUACAAGCAGUGGGAGCCUCUUUAUGGGGUGACUGCGUACCUUUUGUAUAAUGGGUCAGCGACUUAUAUUCUGUAGCAAGGUUAACCAAAUAGGGGAGCCGAAGGGAAACCGAGUCUUAACUGGGCGUUAAGUUGCAGGGUAUAGACCCGAAACCCGGUGAUCUAGCCAUGGGCAGGUUGAAGGUUGGGUAACACUAACUGGAGGACCGAACCGACUAAUGUUGAAAAAUUAGCGGAUGACUUGUGGCUGGGGGUGAAAGGCCAAUCAAACCGGGAGAUAGCUGGUUCUCCCCGAAAGCUAUUUAGGUAGCGCCUCGUGAAUUCAUCUCCGGGGGUAGAGCACUGUUUCGGCAAGGGGGUCAUCCCGACUUACCAACCCGAUGCAAACUGCGAAUACCGGAGAAUGUUAUCACGGGAGACACACGGCGGGUGCUAACGUCCGUCGUGAAGAGGGAAACAACCCAGACCGCCAGCUAAGGUCCCAAAGUCAUGGUUAAGUGGGAAACGAUGUGGGAAGGCCCAGACAGCCAGGAUGUUGGCUUAGAAGCAGCCAUCAUUUAAAGAAAGCGUAAUAGCUCACUGGUCGAGUCGGCCUGCGCGGAAGAUGUAACGGGGCUAAACCAUGCACCGAAGCUGCGGCAGCGACGCUUAUGCGUUGUUGGGUAGGGGAGCGUUCUGUAAGCCUGCGAAGGUGUACUGUGAGGUAUGCUGGAGGUAUCAGAAGUGCGAAUGCUGACAUAAGUAACGAUAAAGCGGGUGAAAAGCCCGCUCGCCGGAAGACCAAGGGUUCCUGUCCAACGUUAAUCGGGGCAGGGUGAGUCGACCCCUAAGGCGAGGCCGAAAGGCGUAGUCGAUGGGAAACAGGUUAAUAUUCCUGUACUUGGUGUUACUGCGAAGGGGGGACGGAGAAGGCUAUGUUGGCCGGGCGACGGUUGUCCCGGUUUAAGCGUGUAGGCUGGUUUUCCAGGCAAAUCCGGAAAAUCAAGGCUGAGGCGUGAUGACGAGGCACUACGGUGCUGAAGCAACAAAUGCCCUGCUUCCAGGAAAAGCCUCUAAGCAUCAGGUAACAUCAAAUCGUACCCCAAACCGACACAGGUGGUCAGGUAGAGAAUACCAAGGCGCUUGAGAGAACUCGGGUGAAGGAACUAGGCAAAAUGGUGCCGUAACUUCGGGAGAAGGCACGCUGAUAUGUAGGUGAAGCGACUUGCUCGUGGAGCUGAAAUCAGUCGAAGAUACCAGCUGGCUGCAACUGUUUAUUAAAAACACAGCACUGUGCAAACACGAAAGUGGACGUAUACGGUGUGACGCCUGCCCGGUGCCGGAAGGUUAAUUGAUGGGGUUAGCGGCAACGCGAAGCUCUUGAUCGAAGCCCCGGUAAACGGCGGCCGUAACUAUAACGGUCCUAAGGUAGCGAAAUUCCUUGUCGGGUAAGUUCCGACCUGCACGAAUGGCGUAAUGAUGGCCAGGCUGUCUCCACCCGAGACUCAGUGAAAUUGAACUCGCUGUGAAGAUGCAGUGUACCCGCGGCAAGACGGAAAGACCCCGUGAACCUUUACUAUAGCUUGACACUGAACAUUGAGCCUUGAUGUGUAGGAUAGGUGGGAGGCUUUGAAGUGUGGACGCCAGUCUGCAUGGAGCCGACCUUGAAAUACCACCCUUUAAUGUUUGAUGUUCUAACGUUGGCCCCUUAUCGGGGUUGCGGACAGUGUCUGGUGGGUAGUUUGACUGGGGCGGUCUCCUCCUAAAGAGUAACGGAGGAGCACGAAGGUUGGCUAAUCCUGGUCGGACAUCAGGAGGUUAGUGCAAUGGCAUAAGCCAGCUUGACUGCGAGCGUGACGGCGCGAGCAGGUGCGAAAGCAGGUCAUAGUGAUCCGGUGGUUCUGAAUGGAAGGGCCAUCGCUCAACGGAUAAAAGGUACUCCGGGGAUAACAGGCUGAUACCGCCCAAGAGUUCAUAUCGACGGCGGUGUUUGGCACCUCGAUGUCGGCUCAUCACAUCCUGGGGCUGAAGUAGGUCCCAAGGGUAUGGCUGUUCGCCAUUUAAAGUGGUACGCGAGCUGGGUUUAGAACGUCGUGAGACAGUUCGGUCCCUAUCUGCCGUGGGCGCUGGAGAACUGAGGGGGGCUGCUCCUAGUACGAGAGGACCGGAGUGGACGCAUCACUGGUGUUCGGGUUGUCAUGCCAAUGGCACUGCCCGGUAGCUAAAUGCGGAAGAGAUAAGUGCUGAAAGCAUCUAAGCACGAAACUUGCCCCGAGAUGAGUUCUCCCUGACCCUUUAAGGGUCCUGAAGGAACGUUGAAGACGACGACGUUGAUAGGCCGGGUGUGUAAGCGCAGCGAUGCGUUGAGCUAACCGGUACUAAUGAACCGUGAGGCUUAACCUUACAACGCCGAAG
rnacentral:rRNA from 1 species